AACGAAAAAGAAUGUAAAGACACUGAACUGGUUAAGAAUCUAUAGACCAAUGGCUCGGCUCUACCAUCUUGAUGGUGCGUCUCACAUCGACACCACGGCAAUAGCAGCAGCAGCAGCAGCAGCAGCAGCAGCAGCAGCCAGCAGCAGCAGCAGAGGAGACGGGCAGCAGCAUGAGACCGGACCGGACAUCAGAGAGGAGCACACUAGACAUCACCACUACAAUCAAUUAAAUCUCUCUCCUGCGUCACGGUAUCCUCAAAGGGCAUCCUACAGCGCCACAGUCUGGCGUCAGAGGCCUCGGCAGCCACACACUCCUGUCAUGGCACGCAUCGUGAAGGCUGCGGCGGCGGCGGUGGUGGUGGUGGUGGUGCUCGGAGGAGGCCCUGGCGGCAGGUGUGGCGCUGCUCACGGCGCCACAAACUGCAACUCUGGUACAGACGAUGCAGAAAUGCUAGUAAGAUCUGAAGAAGAGGAAUUGAUACACAGCGAAGCAAUACGCCAAGUCAGACGGCACGUGAAUCAAUAUAUGUACAUGGUGCCCUUGACAGGCUUUGAAGGCGUUCGUGCUGAGGUGACAACCAACAUGGGAACAUUCUCUGCCUGGUUCCCAAUUAUGGACCACUGCCUCCUCGACAGUUCCCGGUGGUGGCAGGUGUUACUGGAGGUGAAGAAAUACACCAGUUCAACUCUCACUGCUACUCUGGCGGUACACAACUGCUCCCUGUCAUGUGAACUGAACAAUGACGCAAGACGCACAAAUGGGAGCGACUUGAAGCUUCACAACCUGGAAAUGUUUGGUCGCGGCGCUUCCAAGUGGAGAGAACAGCGUCCACUCCAUCCUUGCAGAGUUGAAACAGUAGCAAAAGAUCCUGUCCGAGUAACCCCGCCCUCCUGCACCAAUCCUCCGCCCAUCGGCAAUGCCUCUCCACCUCACUCUGACACAGAUCAGCAGCCUGCACACCGGCCUGCACAGGGAACUCUCGGCACCGCCUCGCCUCCCGCACGCGCUACACCCCCAAGCCCAUCAGAAUCCCCUACAGCCCACACUGAAGGCCUCACGCCCCCAUUGCGGGUGGCAGCAGUGGUGGUCGUGAUGGUGAUGAUAGUGAUGAGUGAUGAUGGUGGUUGUGAUGAUGAGACGUUGAGAUCGACAAGAAAAUUAGGCGCUCGCGCGCGCGCGUGCGUGUGUGUGUGUGUGUGUGUGUGUGUGUGUGUGUGUGUGUGUGUGUGUGUGUGUGUGUGUGUGUGUGUGUGUGUGUGUGUGUGUGUGUGUGUGUGUGUGUGCGUGAAAAACUUGCAGCAACAACAACAACAGCAAGCAAGCGAAGUUAACAGUUAACAGAAACAUAUGACUGUAAUCGAGUCACCAUUAUCGCCAUCAGAAUUAGCAUCAUAAUCAACAGUAAGAGCUGCACCAGUAACUACAACAUCAAUAACAGUAUUAGUAAUGGUAGUAUAAGCAGUGGGACCCACGCGGCAGCCACUACUGGCGAUACUGCAUCUCCCAGAACUAGGAUGGCAGAAAAAAACAAACAAAUAAAAUGAAAUGAAUAACAUAAAACAAAUAAAUAAAUGAAUGAAAUAAUAAUAAUAAUAAUAAUAAUAAUAAUAAUAAUAAUAAUAAUAAUAAUAAUAAUAAUGAACAUGCUGAAGGCCCAACAUUCAAAACCGUCUUCCCACAGCGGCCAAUGUGUCUCCUCUAAUACAUGGAAUUACGUUACUGGAAACAUUUAUAUUCGAAAAUAAGAAUUGUGGAAACAGUCUUCAUAAAAUGUCAUCAUGAGCUACAGUGAAGAGCAAAGGCGUUCUCUCAGCGAGUGUUAGCGAGCGGCACACCACGACACACAGAAGUGUCCCACGGCUCGUCCGACUUACGGAGGGUUUAUUAGCUGACACACUCCAUCCAGGAAGUCAACGUCAGCAGGAACAGCCUGUAUGAAUCGUUUGACCAGUACCAGCAGCACUCCAGCGGGCCGGGCCAAGGCGACGGCCCUGCUGACACCCAGUGCUGACACAGGCUGUACCUCCCGCAACCACGGUGGCAACAACAACAAGAGCAACACAAAUACGUGCAAUAGACCACAACAACAUGACUACACAACACAAUAAAGUAAAAUAACCAACCCACAUUCUAAAAACACUUCUGCGGCGGAACUUCACUAUAUUUCAUCGCCUCUAGCAGAAGUGACAGGUGUUUUUAAGGUGUUUUUACCGUUUUAGUGACAGAUUAUCAAGAGUUCUACGUAUUUAAUAGGAAAAAACGCUCUUGAGAACCCGGAUAAUCAUCCUCAGUGGCCUUGGUUAAAAGUCGUAGACAGAGAGCAAAGCAUGUCUGGCUACAAAACAAAAUAGUAGUUGUUGCAAAGGCUAAUCCCACGAGCAUUACAUUGGGGCACUAAAGGUAAACACUCUAGUACACUCAAGAAGCGCAUGUCAGAAUAGUGGAUAACAGAGACACAUGCCCAACUUUCAAAGCUGCCUUGUGGAGUGAUCCCUGUUGCUGCAGUAGCGUGUAUUGUGUCUCUCUGUAAGAAAUGCUUUGCUCUCUCGCCACCGACUAUCUCCAAAGGCCACACAUCUGUCACCUGUGCUAUAAAAAGAGCCUUAAAAUCCCGCGUACCUUCAACUAGAGCCUUUUGCAUGUGGUGGAGGUGCGGCGCAGAGGUGUUUCAGAGUCAUGUUCCUUGCUUCAAGAAUACUGUGAGGUAGUGCUUCUAGGGUUUCUAGGAUGUGGGAGUGUUAUCUGUGCGUGUGUCUGUGUGUUGGUGUGCAGGGAAAUUUUCUUUGUGGGAAAUUAAACACACAAGAAAAACAUAAAUAUAGUGAACAUUAUGGUGCUGUGUGUAAUAAUAAGCUUUCACUGAAGAAUAAUGUGGGAUUGUACAUUAAAUAAGUUAAGUUAUGAGGCACAAAAAGACUUUUAAACUUGUAAUCAUCUUGUACAGCGACACGCACUCACAGCUCCUGCAGAGGAAACACUCGUUAUCCACACAGUGUCCGGGAGUCUCCUGUGAUGCGUCGAGUCCUGCCUGCCUCUCCUUAACGUGCUGGUGGUCUAACUACUACUACUACUACUAUUACUGCUACUACUACUACUACUACUAUUCUCUGACAUAUGUACAUAACACGUUAUUUUCCCGGAUAUGAUAAGCGUUGGUGCAAGUCAACACACUCUCUCUCUCUCUCUCUCUCUCUCUCUCUCUCUCUCUCUCUCUCUCUCUCUCUCUCUCUCUCUCUCUCUCUCUCGCUCUCUCUCUCUCUCUCUCCUGUUUAAUAGUGGAG